rnacentral:lncRNA from 1 species
AAUUAUGCUGGGCCUCCAAAAUGUGUCUGGAACAGCCCGACGAUACCCCUUUCUAUGCCCAGCCAUGUUGGGCCCAGUUCAUGCGAAAAUUCAGGGCCCCAUCUCAUCCCAUUGCCCCGGACCAUCUGACGGCUGGGCUGAGAUAGGGUAGUCCAGUCCAGGCUCUUUUGUUUCUCUGUGUUAAAUGUAUAAAAGCAAGACAUCAACACGAUAAAAUAAGUUGUACAAUCUAGAGUAUAAAAAAAUAAGCAUAUAAAAAAUAUAAAAUAUUCUAGAGUCACUAAUACUUUCUAACUAGGUUACACCUACUUAACUAUAGACUAUUGUUUAUACUCUAUAGCUAAGGUAUAUCCUAAUUAGAAUUUUUAUGUUCAAGUGGGCUUUUAUGAAGCUUUUAGGGGGGAAAAAUAGUGUAAAGAAGCCAACGUUAAGGUAGACUGCCCAAAAGGGGAAACAUAAUGCCAAUUGCCCCUUUUGUUUUUGAAUUUUUUGGGCAGGACAGGCCUACAAG